AUUGAAAGAUUCACCUUUAUUUGCAGAGAAAGAAAUCGACACAGAGAAUUUGAAUCGACGACGAAAAUUUGGGCUUCAAACCGAGCGAGUUUCGAUGGUGAAAACUAACACUUCGAACUGAUGGUGAAAACUCAAACUUCUAACUGAGCGAUAAUCGGAGGCUACACAUCUGUUAUGGGGAAGAGACAAGUUAGGGCUUUUUUUAGCUUUUAGAUGAAGAGCGGGAAAGAAGAUGAGCUAAAUAAAAAAUGCCUCCUAUUUUAAUUUAAUAAAAAUAAGAGACCUCACAAGGUCUCUUAUUUUUAAAUAUUAUUUAACAAAUUUGACUAAUAAAAUGAGACCUCAAGAGGUAUCUAAAAUUAAA
rnacentral:lncRNA from 1 species